GAUGAGAGUUUGAUCCUGGCUCAGAUUGAACGCUGGCGGCAGGCUUAACACAUGCAAGUCGAGCGGAGAUGAGGUGCUUGCACCUUAUCUUAGCGGCGGACGGGUGAGUAAUGCUUAGGAAUCUGCCUAUUAGUGGGGGACAACAUUCCGAAAGGAAUGCUAAUACCGCAUACGUCCUACGGGAGAAAGCAGGGGAUCUUCGGACCUUGCGCUAAUAGAUGAGCCUAAGUCGGAUUAGCUAGUUGGUGGGGUAAAGGCCUACCAAGGCGACGAUCUGUAGCGGGUCUGAGAGGAUGAUCCGCCACACUGGGACUGAGACACGGCCCAGACUCCUACGGGAGGCAGCAGUGGGGAAUAUUGGACAAUGGGGGGAACCCUGAUCCAGCCAUGCCGCGUGUGUGAAGAAGGCCUUAUGGUUGUAAAGCACUUUAAGCGAGGAGGAGGCUACUGAGACUAAUACUCUUGGAUAGUGGACGUUACUCGCAGAAUAAGCACCGGCUAACUCUGUGCCAGCAGCCGCGGUAAUACAGAGGGUGCGAGCGUUAAUCGGAUUUACUGGGCGUAAAGCGUGCGUAGGCGGCUUUUUAAGUCGGAUGUGAAAUCCCCGAGCUUAACUUGGGAAUUGCAUUCGAUACUGGGAAGCUAGAGUAUGGGAGAGGAUGGUAGAAUUCCAGGUGUAGCGGUGAAAUGCGUAGAGAUCUGGAGGAAUACCGAUGGCGAAGGCAGCCAUCUGGCCUAAUACUGACGCUGGGGUACGAAAGCAUGGGGAGCAAACAGGAUUAGAUACCCUGGUAGUCCAUGCCGUA
rnacentral:rRNA from 1 species